GACGAACCGUGCGAACGUUGUUCGGAAUUACUGGGCGUAAAGGGCUCGUAGGCGGCCAAUUAAGUCACACGUGAAAUCCCUCGGCUCAACCGGGGAACUGCGUGUGAGACUGGAUGGCUUGAGUUUGGGAGAGGAAUGCGGAAUUCCAGGUGUAGCGGUGAAAUGCGUAGAUAUCUGGAGGAACACCGGUGGCGAAGGCGGCAUUCUGGACCAAUACUGACGCUGAGGAGCGAAAGCCAGGGGAGCAAAC
rnacentral:rRNA from 1 species